rnacentral:rRNA from 1 species
CCGGCGCACGGGUGAGUAACACGUAUGGAACCUGCCCUAUGCAGGGGGAUAAGCGGAAGAAAUUCCGUCUAAUACCGCAUAACACCAUUUGGAGACAUCUCCAGGGGGUCAAAGGAGGCGACUCCGGCAUAGGAUGGCCAUGCGUCGCAUUAGCUAGUCGGCGGGGUAACGGCCCACCGAGGCGACGAUGCGUAGGGGUCCUGAGAGGAAGGUCCCCCACACUGGUACUGAGACACGGACCAGACUCCUACGGGAGGCAGCAG